GAUGAAGAACGUAGCGAAAUGCGAUAAGUAAUGUGAAUUGCAGAAUUCAGUGAAUCAUCGAAUCUUUGAACGCACCUUGCGCUCUUUGGUAUUCCGAAGAGCAUGCCUGUUUGAGUGUCAUGAAAAUAUCAACCUUGACUUGGGUUUUGUGCUCUAGUCUCGGCUUGGAAUUGGGUGCUUGCCGCUUUUACGAGCGGCUCACCUUAAAUGUAUUGGCUGGAUCUGUCUUUGAGACUUGGUUUGACUUGGCGUAAUAAGUAUUUCGCUAAGGACAUUCUUCGGAGUGGCCUCGUUUCUAGGACGCUUGUCCGCUUUCCAAUACAAGUUCCACCUCGUGGACAUGACUUUUUAUUAUCUGGCCUCAAAUCAGGUAGGACUACCCGCUGAACUUAAGCAUAUCAAUAAGCGGAGGA
rnacentral:misc_RNA from 1 species